rnacentral:rRNA from 1 species
CGGAAGGAUCAUUACAGCGAAAACGGCGCGAGCCGCCUUUCGAACCACCGCGUACCGAACCUCACGUUGCCUCGGCGGCGCCGGGCCCUCGCGGCCCGCCCGCCGGACGGCCCCAGCAAGACCCCUUCCGUCGAGAUGGCGUCGUCUGAAUCCCCCCCGGGGGAGAACGUUUUGAACGAAAAACACAACUUUCAACAAUGGAUCUCUUGGCUCCGGCAUCGAUGAAGAACGCAGCGAAACGCGAUAGCUAGUGUGAAUUGCAGAUUUCAGUGAAUCAUCGAGUCUUUGAACGCACAUUGCGCCUCUUGGUAUUCCUCGAGGCAUGCCUGUUCGAGCGUCGUUACACCCCUCAAGCGUGAGCUUGGUGUUGGGGACCGCCCCUGAGACACGGCGGCGGCCCCGGAAUGCAUCGGCGGUGCUGGUCCCAGCCCGGAGCGCAGCAGACAUGCGGCUCCGCGGGCGGGCCGGCGCCCGCCGGACAAAACGACGAGACCCCUCCACAAGUCGACCUCGAAUCAGGUAGGGAUACCCGCUGAACUUAAGCAUAUCAAUAAGCGGAGGAAAAGAAACCAACAGGGAUUGCCUCAGUAACGGCGAGUGAAGCGGCAACAGCUCAAAUUUGAAAUCUGGCGCCUCCGGCGUCCGAGUUGUA